rnacentral:misc_RNA from 1 species
CGCGCUUUCCUUAGAAUCGAAGUACUUAAUCUCCUCUGUCUCAAAUGUGAAGAAUCCCAUCACAAGCUAGAGUCCCCUCGAGAUCACCAAUAACCCGCGAUAUUCGCACUUCGAGACCCCUCUGUAUUUCUGUGAAGAGAUUUCCGACAAUCCCUGCAAACUGCCUCAUAUUGAAGCCUAUAGAUUCAUCGAGGCCCUCACUGCCAGCGAAG